rnacentral:lncRNA from 1 species
UGUUUUUAUACGACUGCAAAAUUUGAAAAAUUUUUCGUCGUAUAUUGCUAUCACGUUGGCGUCGUCGUCUGCGUCGUCAUCGUCGUCGUCGUCGUCCGAAUACUUUUAGUUUUCGCACUCUAACUUUAGUAAAAGUGAAUGGAAAUCUAUGAAAUUUUAACACAAGGUUUAUGACCACAAAAGGAAGGUUGGUAUUGAUUUUGGGAGUUUUGGUCCCAACAUUUUAGGAAUUAGGGGCCAAAAAGGGCCCAAAUAAGCAUUUUCUUGGUUUUCGCACUAUAACUUUAGUUUAAGUUAAUAGAAAUCUAUGAAAUUUUGACACAAGGUUUAUGACCACAAAAGAACGGUUGGGAUUGAUUUUGGGAGUUUUGGUUUCAACAGUUUAGGAAUUAGGGGCCAAAAAAGGGCCCAAAUAAGCAUUAUUCUUGGUUUUCACACAAUAACUUUAGUUUAAGUAAAUAGAAAUCAAUGAAAUUUAAACACAAUGUUAAUGACUACAAAAGGAAGGUUGGUAUUGAUUUUGGGAGUUUAGGUCCCAACAGUUUAGGAAUUAGGGGCCAAAAAGGGACCCAAAUAAGCAUUUUUCUUGGUUUUCGCACCAUAACGUUUAGUAUAAGUAAAUAGAAAUCUAUGAAAUUUAAACACAAGGUUUAUGACCAUAAAAGGAAGGUUGGUUAUUUGAUUUUGGGAGUUUUGGUCCCAACAGAAUAAGGGCCCAAAGGGUCCAAAAUUAAACUUUGUUUGAUUUCAUCAAAAUUGAAUAAUUGGGGUUCUUUGAUAUGCCGAAUCUAACUGUCAUGACUGUGUAUGUAGAUUCUUAACUUUUGGUCCCGUUUUCAAAUUGGUCUACAUUAAGGUCCAAAGGGUCCAAAAUUAAACUUAGUUUGAUUUUGACAAAAAAUGAAUCAGUUAGGUUCUUUGAUAUGCUGAAUCUAAAAAUGUACUUAGAUUCUUGAUUAUUAUUGGCCCAGUUUUCAAGUUGGUCCAAAUCGGGGUCCAAAAUUAAACUUUGUUUGAUUUCAUCAAAAAUUGAAUAAAUGGGG